UACGAAGGGGGCGAGCGUUGUUCGGAAUUACUGGGCGUAAAGGGCGCGUAGGCGGCCCCUUAAGUCAGAUGUGAAAUCCCUGGGCUCAACCCAGGAACUGCACUCGAAACUUCUUUUCUUGAGUGCCGGAGAGGAAAGCGGAAUACCUGGUGUAGAGGUGAAAUUCGUAGAUAUCAGGUGGAACACCAGUGGCGAAGGCGGCUUUCUGGACGGUAACUGACGCUGAGACGCGAAAGCGUGGGGAGCAAACAGG
rnacentral:rRNA from 1 species